CCUACGGGAGGCAGCAGUAGGGAAUUUUCGGCAAUGGGGGAAACCCUGACCGAGCAACGCCGCGUGAACGAUGAAGGUAUUCGUAAUGUAAAGUUCUUUUAACAGGGAAGAAAGAGACAUUUGACGAUCCCUGAAGAAUAAGCUCCGUCUAACUACGUGCCAGCAGCCGCGGUAAUACGUAGGGAGCGAGGGUUAUCCGAAUUUAUUGGGCGAAAGGGGUGCGUAGAUGGAAUAGUAAGUGUUUGGGAAUAAUGCUGGACUAAACCCAGUAGGGCAAAAGAUACUGGAAAGCUAGAGUAUGACAGAGGUAAGUGGAAUUACAUGUGUAGCGGUAAAAUGCGUAAAUAUAAGUAAGAACACCAGUGGCGAAGGCGACUUGCUGGGUCGAUACUGACACUGAGGCACGAAAGCGUGGGGAGCAAACAGGAUUAGAUACCCGAGUAGUC
rnacentral:rRNA from 1 species